AGCGGCGGACGGGUGAGUAACACGUGAGUAACCUGCCUUAGACAUUGGGAUAGCCUCGGGAAACCGGGAUUAAUACCAAAUGAAAUCACAUAUGCACAUGCAUAAAUGAUCAAAGCUCCGGCGGUCUAAGAUGGACUCGCGUCCCAUUAGCUAGUUGGUGAGGUAACGGCCCACCAAGGCGACGAUGGGUAGCCGGCCUGAGAGGGUGAACGGCCACAUUGGAACUGAGAAACGGUCCAAACUCCUACGGGAGGCAGCAGUGGGGAAUAUUGCACAAUGGAGGGAACUCUGAUGCAGCGACGCCGCGUGAACGAAGAAGGCUUUCGAGUCGUAAAGUUCUUUUAUGUGGGAAGAUAAUGACGGUACCAUAAGAAAAAGCCCCGGCUAACUACGUGCCAGCAGCCGCGGUAAUACGUAGGGGGCUAGCGUUGUCCGGAAUCACUGGGCGUAAAGGGUUCGCAGGCGGAAAUGCAAGUCAGGUGUAAAAGGCAGUAGCUUAACUACUGUAAGCAUUUGAAACUGCAUAUCUUGAGAAGAGUAGAGGUAAGUGGAAUUUUUAGUGUAGCGGUGAAAUGCGUAGAUAUUAAAAAGAAUACCGGUGGCGAAGGCGACUUACUGGGCUCAUUCUGACGCUGAGGAACGAAAGCGUGGGUAGCAAACAGGAUUAGAUACCCUGGUAGUCCACGCUGUAAACGAUGAGUGCUAGGUAUCGGAAAAAUUCGGUGCCGCAGUUACACAUUAAGCACU
rnacentral:rRNA from 1 species